UACGGAGGAUGCAAGCGUUAUCCGGAAUGAUUGGGCGUAAAGCGUCCGCAGGUGGCGAUGUAAGUCUGCUGUUAAAGAGUGAGGCUCAACCUCAUAAGAGCAGUGGAAACUACAUAGCUAGAGUACGUUCGGGGCAGAGGGAAUUCCUGGUGUAGCGGUGAAAUGCGUAGAGAUCAGGAAGAACACCAGUGGCGAAGGCGCUCUGCUAGGCCGUAACUGACACUCAUGGACGAAAGCUAGGGGAGCGAAUGGG
rnacentral:rRNA from 1 species